AUGUUGAUGAAGAAAGCAAGACUGCUAGCUAUAUGUGGGUGCUGCCAUCAGUGAAUGGAAGCCCAGCAGAAAACCACACCUACUACUGGAGAGAAGGAUUGACACCUGACAAACCUGUCUUCACGGUGGAUGACGGUGCCGAUGGUGAGCAAGCGGCGCACUUUAUUUACACUAAUUAU
rnacentral:lncRNA from 1 species